UACGUAGGGUGCAAGCGUUGUCCGGAAUUAUUGGGCGUAAAGAGCUCGUAGGCGGCUUGUCGCGUCGGCUGUGAAAACCUGGGGCUCAACCCCGGGCCUGCAGCCGAUACGGGCAAGCUAGAAUUCGGUAGGGGAGACUGGAAUUCCUGGUGUAGCGGUGAAAUGCGCAGAUAUCAGGAGGAACACCGGUGGCGAAGGCGGCG
rnacentral:rRNA from 1 species